rnacentral:tRNA from 1 species
GGCCCAGUAGGCCAACUGGUAGAGCCAUCAGACUUAAACCCUGUAAAGUGAAAGUUCGAAUCUUUCCUGGGCUA